rnacentral:rRNA from 1 species
AUACGUAGGGUGCGAGCGUUGUCCGGAAUUACUGGGCGUAAAGAGCUCGUAGGUGGUUUGUCGCGUCGUCUGUGAAAUUCCGGGGCUUAACUCCGGGCGUGCAGGCGAUGCGGGCAUAACUUGAGUACUGUAGGGGAGACUGGAAUUCCUGGUGUAGCGGUGAAAUGCGCAGAUAUCAGGAGGAACACCGGUGGCGAAGGCGGGUCUCUGGGCAGUAACUGACGCUGAGGAGCGAAAGCAUGGGUAGCGAACAGGAUUAGAUACCCUUGUAGUCCAUGCCGUAAACGGUGGGCGCUAGGUGUAGGGGUCUUCCACGACUUCUGUGCCGUAGCUAACGCAUUAAGCGCCCCGCCUGGGGAGUACGGCCGCAAGGCUAAAACUCAAAGGAAUUGACGGGG